rnacentral:tRNA from 10 species
CGGAAUAGCUCAGUUGGUAGAGCAGAGGACUGAAAA